rnacentral:tRNA from 1 species
GAGGGUGUAGAUCAGUGUUAGAGUCCGUGCCUAGCAAGCACGAGGUCCUGGGUUCAAUCCCCAGUGCUUCCA